rnacentral:sRNA from 1 species
GAAAACUUUAUUCUCAAGAGAUUUCUCAUUCCGCAGAAAUAAGGAUCUGGCAUGUCAACACAAACAUAGGAAGUUGAUGCAGUCAAAGGGAAAUAACUGCUGCCCUGACUCUGCUGAGAGCCUCACAAGUCCCUGUGCACGCCAGCUUAUUUGCCAAAAAAGAUGUUGCUGGUCCAUUUGACAAAGAAGUCCAGAGCUGCUUGUGACUUCAGUCUGGCUCUGCAGAGCCCAGGUGCUCUCUCCACCUCCUGCCAGAUUCCCCUACGAAGGCUUUGCUCUCAGACUCUCCCCUUGUGGAGACAAAAAUCCCACAGCAAGUGGAAACAGAAGUGCCUUGGAAAAAGUUCUUCUGGCAGCUCCUAUACAGGUCACCCAUCAGAUGCUGGUAUUGGACCAGCUUUGGUUAUCAAGCCCUGCUGUGGCACAAAAAGGAAUGUUGUCCUGAUACAGCAGCCUCGGGUCACCCAAUCCACUCCAGAUACUAUGGCUGCAGCAUCAAUGUAAGCAGACAAGUUGUGCUGCCUCUGAAAUAAAGUAGAUGAAAUAUUCAGCAGCAGAAAGAACAAGUUUCCACUCCAGUGAACUAAUUCAAAUGUAUCCAGCAUCUAGAUAUAUGUAUAAAUGUAAUUAAAAUGUAUUGAGCAUCUAGAGCAUCUCUCCCAAGAUAAUUACCACCUGACAGUAAUGGCUAUAAAAGCUAAAAGUGGAAUCAGUCUACAUGUUUAGCAAUAGGAAUCAACUGAAGCAUACAUCAAAAUGCAGACAGUAGUAUUGUGAAUAACCCUAUACCUUCCAAUUUGAAAUCAGAAGCAAAAAAGGCUGCCAAAAUAUUAAGAGAAUUCACAGAAAUAACUUCCAGAAAUGGACCUGAUAAGAUCAUUCCUGCUCACGUAAUUGCAAAGGCUAAAGGCCUUGCAAUUCUGUCUGUGAUCAAAGCCGGGUUCCUGGUGACUGCCAGAGGAGGCAGCGGGAUUGUAGUGGCGCGCCUUCCAGAUGGAAAGUGGUCUGCACCCUCAGCCAUUGGGAUAGCUGGCCUUGGUGGGGGAUUUGAAAUAGGAAUUGAGACACAUUUACAGCUACAUAUUCCCUCUAGGCAUUGCCCUGGCUGCCUUCCAUAAGUGUGGGUAUCAGACUUGGUGAUAAUUCUGAAUUAUGACCGUGCUGUAGAAGCUUUUGCAAAAGGUGGAAAUCUAACCCUUGGAGGGAACUUGACUGUGGCGGUUGGGCCCUUGGGAAGGAACUUGGAAGGAAAUGUGGCCCUGAGAAACUCCGAUGCCGUCUUCACCUACUGCAAGUCGAGGGGACUCUUUGCAGGCGUGUCUUUAGAAGGGAGCUGUUUGAUUGAAAGGAAAGAAACUAAUAGAAAAUUUUAUUGUCAAGAUAUCCGAGCUUAUGACAUUUUAUUUGGAGAUACACCGCGGCCUGCUCAAGCCGAAGAUCUUUAUGAAAUUCUUGAUUCCUUUACUGAAAAGUAUGAAAAUGAAGGACAACGAAUCAAUGCAAGAAAAGCAGCAAGGGAGCAGAGGAAGUCUUCUGCUAAAGAAUUACCUGCAAAGCCAUUGUCAAGACCACUGCAGUCAUCUGCACCAGUCCAGCUGAACUCUGGCUCUCAAAGCAAUUUGAAUCAACCCAUAGAAGUGACAGCGCUGUAUUCCUUUGAAGGACAGCAGCCUGGGGAUUUGAAUUUUCAAGCUGGAGACAGAAUCACAGUUAUAUCAAAAACAGAUUCACAUUUUGAUUGGUGGGAAGGAAAACUUCGAGGUCAAACUGGCAUUUUUCCAGCCAACUACGUAACCAUGAAUUAAAGCAUAUACUAUUUUCUUCUUUGAGAAUUACAAAAAAAUUAUUUCUACACUGACAGGAUUUACUAGUUAAGCAAUGUUUAAUAUAAAUUUUUAAAAACUUCUGUUCUACAAAAUUUCCAUUCAGUAUGUAAAAGAUUUUGUUUUUCUAUAUAGAAAGAGCUGACUGACAUAUCUUUAAAUACUUUGUACUAACUUUAUCACACUUGCUGUGUCAUAGAAUAUCAUACAAUUUAUGUGCUCAUAGUUCUUUUGUGAACACUUUCGAACAUCGCUAAGCAUUUGAUCUGGCCAUGUAUAUGGUAGCUAUAUUUUAAUUUGAGAAUCUUGAGGGUAGAGCCAUGAAUUUCAGUUCUUACAUUUCCAUUUGCAAAGUGACUAGAGAAAAAGAAAUCAGCUUAAAUGAGGUAUUAAGUAAUGUUUAGAGUUGUAGGUAUUAACUAGAAUAUAAAUCCUUAGAAAUCAUCUUUGUACCUUCAAAAAUUGUACUAUGCAUUUAUCAUAGAAAUAUGAUUACAAAGAAGUCUGACUACCAUGUCUUUAAACAUAUGGCAUCUCUCAACUUUUCUUCCUUAUGGGGCUACAUUUGUUCAUUUCCAGCAGUAGCAUAAACUUACGGUGACAUGGUAGACUUUUCUCUAAAUAAAAUUUUUAAAUAUUUA